AUAGAUUUAGUUAAAUUUUAUAAUAUGCAUUUGUCGUGUGUAAGUUGUUUAUAUAAACAAUCUAUU
rnacentral:tRNA from 1 species